rnacentral:rRNA from 1 species
GACGAACGCUGGCGGCGUGCUUAACACAUGCAAGUCAGGGAGAACGGUGUCCUUCGGGAUGCCUAGUAAACCGGCAAACGGGUGAGUAACACGUAGGUAACUUGCCUUUGGGUUUGGGAUAACCUCGCUAACGCGGGGGUAAUUCCGAAUAAUGCAGCGGAUCCGCAUGGAUAUGUUGUUAAAGCGGCGAUGACUUGUCAUCGUCGCGCCUAAAGAUGGACCUGCGCCCCAUUAGCAGUUGGUGAGGUUACGGCUCACCAAGGCUGCGAUGGGUAGCCGGCCUGAGAGGGUGACCGGCCACACUGGGACUGAGAUACGGCCCAGACUCCUAC